UACGAAGGGGGCUAGCGUUGUUCGGAAUCACUGGGCGUAAAGGGCGCGUAGGCGGCUUUGUAAGUCGGGGGUGAAAGCCUGUGGCUCAACCACAGAAUUGCCUUCGAUACUGCAUGGCUUGAGACCGGAAGAGGUUAGUGGAACUGCGAGUGUAGAGGUGAAAUUCGUAGAUAUUCGCAAGAACACCAGUGGCGAAGGCGGCUGACUGGUCCGGAUCUGACGCUGAGGCGGCGAAAAGCGUGGGGAGCCAAACAGG
rnacentral:rRNA from 1 species